rfam:Myotis davidii contig206672, whole genome shotgun sequence.
UGUGCACUGGUGGGGUCCCUCAGCCUGGCCUGUGCCAUCUCACAAUCCGGGACUCCUCGGGGGAUGUGGGAGUGCUGGUUUAGGCCCCAUCCCACAGGCCAGGCUGAGGGACCCCACUGGUGCACA